AGCCUGAUGCAGCCAUGCCGCGUGUAUGAAGAAGGCCUUCGGGUUGUAAAGUACUUUCAGCGAGGAGGAAGGCGUUGUGGUUAAUAACCGCAGCGAUUGACGUUACUCGCAGAAGAAGCACCGGCUAACUCCGUGCCAGCAGCCGCGGUAAUACGGAGGGUGCAAGCGUUAAUCGGAAUUACUGGGCGUAAAGCGCACGCAGGCGGUCUGUCAAGUCGGAUGUGAAAUCCCCGGGCUCAACCUGGGAACUGCAUCCGAAACUGGCAGGCUAGAGUCUUGUAGAGGGGGGUAGAAUUCCAGGUGUAGCGGUGAAAUGCGUAGAGAUCUGGAGGAAUACCGGUGGCGAAGGCGGCCCCCUGGACAAAGACUGACGCUCAGGUGCGAAAGCGUGGGGAGCAAACAGGAU
rnacentral:rRNA from 1 species